UAAGACGCCAGAAGCCUCGCGGGUUCGAAUCUCUCCCUGCGAGAUCUCGAGCAUGUCCCUGCGUCUGCGGACUCAGUUUGCUCAGCUGCAAAGUGGGGGUGAGGGUGGCGCUUCCCGCCCGGCGAGGCGCAGCGGGUCCAACCGAAGUCGGGGCUCGGCCCCAGCCACGAGGAGAGGGUGAUGAGGAGAGAAGGUGCACCCCAUAACCAGCCAAGGCUCUCCGGCCCAUCCUGGCCCCCUGCACGGGGCAAGGAGCAAGCAGGACUUUUAUCCCUUGGAAAAUUUUCCUUAUGGAUAGUGUGAGUAACAAGUAUGAAGGCAGAAGAAGCAAGAGGCCAGUGUGGCUGCAGCGGGGGAGCCUGAAGAGCUUCCAAAAAGCCGUGAAAAAAAAUAAAAAGGAUAUACACUUACAGUGAUGAAAAGAACCAGGAGGGGAGAUAUCAUGGCUAGACCUUUCAGCGAAUUUCUGGAAGCUAAAAAGUGGAUGGGAGAGAGGUGUUGAUGGAGCCACUCAAGGGACUCUCAGCUUCCGCGCAGUCUGAGGGCUCUCUUGACGAAACGGUUCGCUCCCACAGAACCCACGAGAGCCUUCAUCUCAGAGAUGCCACCGUUUGCAAAGAAAGUGGGAGGGACCGGUGGGGCCUAAACCAAGCUGGCAGGAAAGCCACUGACUUCUGUCCCUCCCACACUACGCCUACACACAGACUGCAAAGAACAAUCAAAUAAUAAGAAGGGACUCUGAGGGGUGCCCAGGUGGCUCAGUGGGUUAAGGCCUCUGCCUUCGGCUUGGGUUGUGGUCCCGGGGUCCUGGGAUCGAGCCCCGCAUUGGGCUUCCUGCUCCGCGGGGAGCCUGCUUUCUCCUCUCUCUCUCUGCCUGCAUCUCUGCCUACCUGUGAUCUCUGUCUGUCAAAUAAAUAAAAUCUUUAAAAAAAAAAAAAAAAAAGGAAGGAACUCUGAGAAAUUAAACAAUGAAUUGCUCAAAUGAAAAAAGUUUAAUAGAAUGCAAAGAUGAAUUUAAGAUCUCCCAGAACAUAAGAGCCAGGUAAAAGAGGCAGGAAAUACAAGAAGAAA